UACGGAGGAUCCAAGCGUUAUCCGAAAUCAUUGGGUUUAAAGGGUCCGUAGGCGGGUGCGUAAGUCAGUGGUGAAAGUCUGCAGCUCAACUGUAGAAUUGCCAUUGAUACUGUUAACCUUGAGUAAUUAUGAAGUGGUUAGAAUAUGUAGUGUAGCGGUGAGAUGCAUAGAUAUUACAUAGAAUACCGAUUGCGAAGGCAGAUCACUAAUAAUUCACUGACGCUGAUGGACGAAAGCGCAGGUAGCGAACUGG
rnacentral:misc_RNA from 1 species